rnacentral:rRNA from 1 species
CCUACGGGAGGCAGCAGUGGGGAAUAUUGGACAAUGGGCGCAAGCCUGAUCCAGCAAUGCCGCGUGAGUGAUGAAGGCCUUAGGGUUGUAAAGCUCUUUUACCAGGGAUGAUAAUGACAGUACCUGGAGAAUAAGCUCCGGCUAACUCCGUGCCAGCAGCCGCGGUAAUACGGAGGGAGCUAGCGUUGUUCGGAAUUACUGGGCGUAAAGCGUACGUAGGCGGUUAUUCAAGUCAGAGGUGAAAGCCCGGGGCUCAACCCCGGAACUGCCUUUGAAACUAGGUAGCUAGAAUCUUGGAGAGGUCAGUGGAAUUCCGAGUGUAGAGGUGAAAUUCGUAGAUAUUCGGAAGAACACCAGUGGCGAAGGCGACUGACUGGACAAGUAUUGACGCUGAGGUACGAAAGCGUGGGGAGCAAACAGGAUUAGAUACCCUGGUAGUCCACGCCGUAAACGAUGAUAACUAGCUGUCCGGUCACUUGGUGACUGGGUGCGNNGCACNCAUAUAUCGCUGGNGUACGUCGCAGAUAACUACAANAGAUGAGCGNGAGAGUGCGAGCGACGACGAGGAGAG